rnacentral:rRNA from 1 species
UACGUAGGGUGCAAGCGUUGCCCGGAAUUAUUGGGCGUAAAGAGCUCGUAGGCGGCCUGUUGCGUCCGCUGUGAAAUCCCGGGGCUCAACCCCGGGCCUGCAGUGGAUACGGGCUGGCUAGAGGCAGGCAGGGGAGAACGGAAUUCCUGGUGUAGCGGUGAAAUGCGCAGAUAUCAGGAGGAACACCGGUGGCGAAGGCGGUUCUCUGGGCCUGUACUGACGCUGAGGAGCGAAAGCGUGGGGAGCGAACAGG